CCACCCUCAGCUUUUCUCUUUCUUUCCCUCAUCACGGCCGCCCACAGGUGUGCGCAUCCCACAGGAGACUAUGCACCUCCAUGCAGGGACCACCUCCCCCCACCUGGAGGGAGGGAGGGAGGAAGGCCGGCCCUCCCCUCCCUUGAGGUAAGGGAAGCGGCACAACAACGUCUCCAAGGAGCCCGGGCAACAGCGGGGGCUGGACGACUGAGGCGGCGGGAGCCCAGGGUGACAAAAACAGAAAUGCUAAAACAAGUAAAACAUCUCAGAACAAUUCCAAUGCUGAUGCAGACUGACCUUCCCAAAGAGGAAUUGGGAACCCCCGGAUGGCUGGAGUAGAUGGAAGUUGGAGUUCAACAUCUGGAGGACCACAGGUUCCUCAUCUCUCGUUUGUUUAUUUGUUCAGUAAGGCUGUAACCUUAUUUCUGGCAUUUGUGAUGAGAGCAUUUGAUGGGCAAUGCUGCUGGCCCCCAGGUCAGCAAUCAGCCAUGUUUAGGGGUCCCAGGAGUUCAUCGUUGGUCUCUAUUUAUAUGGUGGGAAAGCAGUAGUGAUGCCACUCUCAAUGUCUCCAUUUCGAUACCAUCUGCCUGGUACAGAACUAAUAGACAUUAGAUUUCAAACAUUAUGCCCAUUAUGUGUGAUGCUCCCAUGCAAAACCUGGUAGUGUUUUCCAAGGUAAGGUUCAUACCCAUUAUUGUAGCAGGGUUGGAUGGAUGUAGGUGUGACUCUCUUAAACCCAAUUAGUAGGGGUUAAUUUAAACCCCUAAUUUUUAACAGGGACACUUUUCAGCUUAGAUAUACUGGUUCUAGCACAGGGGUAGAGGCACAGGAAAUGUGUGGUUUUUUUAAACUUCCUUUCCCUCAGUAUGAACAGCCACAAAAGCUUUCUCAGAACCCUUCUUGAUGUAUCUCAGCUGCUGACAUUGAUCUUUCUCUUGUUCUGGGUGUGACUGGCUUAUGUAAUAAUCAGAGGGCUCUGCCAAAGGUGAGCUCCACACCAUAUAUUAAAAGCACUUUUAUAUCACUUUAAGCCAGACAUAGGCAAACUUGGCCCUCCAGAUGUUUUGGGACUACAACUCCCAUCAUCCCUAGCUAACAGGACCAGUGGUCAGGGAUGAU